rnacentral:lncRNA from 1 species
UCCCUAGCUCCCCAAGGCUCCUUGCAUGGCUCACAGAAAGCUCUGGGCGUCUGCACGCCUCCAAUGGAGUGGGGGAAGGCAUCUCCAUCCUGGUUUUGCCUGGCACACCACCGACCAGUGACAAAGGACCCUUAGGAAGAUGGAUGGAGCCGAGCCAUAGAUCCACACAGGGGCUGAAGACCAGCAGAAAUCAAUCAAGCUCCGCAAGUGGGUGCUCCUGACGUGGUCGCAGAGGCCCUUGCUCUGUGACAGGUAGGGGUGACCUCUGGUUUCACUUUCUUUCUAACUUUAUCCAAACUC